UUUGUACUCCUCCCUUCUACCAUUACAAUAUGCUUUUCCUAAGAUUUACUUGCUUUGAAAGGAUUGUUGGGGGAUGGGGAAUGAGGAUGAUGACUUUUACCAAAAUGUUGAAUUGUUAAUAGUCCUCAUUAUCUUUAGAAUUGUUUCCUUAAGCAGAGAUUCCUAGAAAUGCUAUCAACAUCUCAGCCCCAAAUAUUGCAGGUAAGAGGGCUCUCAGCAGGAGGUCUCAGUUCCUUGAUUAUAACUAGACCUUUUAGAAAAGUGAAAUUCAUUGGGUAGGGACUUUACUUGGCAUAGGGUGUUGACGUAGGAAAACUGCUCUCCCUGAAACCAUCCUCAAGCAUGAGAAUGAAGCCCUAAAUGCCUAGUGAGCAUCCAAUAGGCUUCUCACUGCACUUAAACUAAAAUCUAACUCCUAUUUAGGGUCCAAAAAG
rnacentral:lncRNA from 1 species